rnacentral:rRNA from 1 species
UACGGAGGGUGCAAGCGUUUGUCCGGAAUCACUGGGCGUAAAGGGCGCGUAGGCGGCUCAUGAAGGCUGUGGUGAAAGUCCGGGGCUCAACCUCGGAUCGGCCGUGGCGACUCGUGGGCUGGAGCACUGUAGAGGCGGGUGGAAUUCCUGGUGUAGCGGUGGAAUGCGCAGAUAUCAGGAGGAACACCGAUGGCGGAAGGCGGUUUCUCG